rnacentral:tRNA from 1 species
AUCCCUGUAGUUCAGUUGGUAGAGCAUGGUGUUUGCAACGCCAGGGUUGUGGGUUCGAUUCCCACGGGGGGCC